rfam:Picea glauca, whole genome shotgun sequence.
UAAUGUAAUGCUUACAACAUUAAUGCACCAGAUUCCAUUAUAACUCCACAUUUAAGUGCGCUUGGGUUAGAGUAGUAUUGGGAUGGGUGACCUCCGGGGAAAUCCUUGUGUUUUACAUGCC